GUCGAGGAUAUUUAGCAAUGGGGGAAACCCUGACUAUGUGACGCCGCGUGAGGGAUGAAGGUCUUCGGAUUGUAAACCUCUUUCGAUGGGGAAGAAACUUCUAUUUAACAAAUAGAACUGACGGUACCUAGAGAAGAAGCCAUGGCUAACUCUGUGCCAGCAGCCGCGGUAAUACAGAGAUGGCGAGCGUUACUCGGAUUUAUUGGGUGUAAAGGGCAGGUAGGCGGCUAUGCAAGUUGGGGGUGAAAUCCUGUGGCUUAACCACAGAACUGCCUUCAAAACUGCAUAGCUUGAGGCUAGAAGAGGAGAGCGGAAUUCCCGGUGUAAGAGUGAAAUCUGUAGAUAUCGGGAGGAACACCAGUGGCGAAAGCGGCUCUCUAGUCUAGCCCUGACGCUAAGCUGCGAAAGCUAGGGGAGCAAACAGGAUUAGAAACCCGGGUAGUCC
rnacentral:rRNA from 1 species